rnacentral:rRNA from 1 species
GCGUGCAGGAAGAAGGCCUUCUGGUUGUAAACUGCUUUGCCAGGGGAUAAAAUUUCCAUGCGUGGAAAAUUGAAGGUACCUGGUGAAUAAGCCACGGCUAACUACGUGCCAGCAGCCGCGGUAAUACGUAGGUGGCAAGCGUUGUCCGGAUUUAUUGGGUUUAAAGGGUGCGUAGGCGGCCUAUUAAGUCAGUGCUGAAAUAUCCCGGCUUAACCGGGAGGGUGGCAUUGAUACUGAUGGGCUAGAGUACAGAUGAGGUAGGCGGAAUUGACGGUGUAGCGGUGAAAUGCUUAGAUAUCGUCAAGAAUACCUAUAGCGAAGGCAGCUUACUAGGCUGUAACUGACGCUGAGGCACGAAAGUGUGGGGAUCAAACAGGAUUAGAUACCCUGGUAGUCCACACUGUAAACGUUGAUUACUCGCUGUGUGCGAUAUACAGUACGCGGCCAAGCGAAAGCGCUAAGUAAUCCACCUGGGGAGUACGCCGGCAACGGUG